GAUGUGGCCUCUUGACCAGGUUUUAUUCUUGGCCCCUGCCAUCCACUUGUCCCUCUGCUAUUCCUGCAACUCAAUAACCAGCAGAUGCUUGCUUUAUGGGCUCCAGCCUCUCCACCGUCCGUCUCCUCGUUUGUUCUGGCAUCUACUUCAAAUGGUAGAGCAUCUGUGAAAUGGCCCAAAGUACUCCAAGAUUCUGCUUCAGGGUUAAGAAUUUGUGUCUGUAUUGCCAAGACUCUUACGAGUUUUCCAAUCAAAUACACAACCAGCCUGACCCUGACAAUCACGAAGUACUUUUCGUUACGGUCUUCUCUCGGCAAAUACCUGUCGCUGCUCAAACACCCGAGGGGGAAGAGAAUUGGGAGCUCGCUUUUCGUCCUCUCCGGACUUGCCCAUUUCUCCCCCUUCUCUUGUACCAUUACUACGUGUUAACUCCCAAAUGCCUCUCUAGGCCAGACCUCCGAGCCCAAAUCCCGACCCAGAAAUCCAAGAACCUAAUGGCGUGCCAGCUACCGACGGCUUAAAACAGAAUUCCUCUUCCUCUUGCCAACCCACUUCAUCAUCUCCCGGUUUCUCCCGCCUCUGGCUUGGGAGGCAACCUUGACUUUCCCCUUCACUCUCCCAUCGAGUCCCAAAGCUAUCCUGCCUGAGCCGCACUCGAUUGGCCAAGGAGAGCCACGCCUCCGUCAGAUGUCUGCAGGCUUCCCGAGGGGCCCUCCCUCUGCGCCGCAGCCAGCAAGGCUCAUGUGGGUGCGUCCCCACGGUGUGCACUUAGCAAACGUCCUUUUCCCUCCUUCACGUCGCCCUCCGGGCCAGGGCCCACGGCCCAAUUUCGGAAGCACCAGGUGUGUCGAGGCGGACCUGUGUCCUUCCAUCUUCGGGAGGAAGAAACGAACUGCUUUCGUGGAGCCCAGGUCCGCUCCUCCGAAGCGAACGCUUAAAAGCGGCUCACGUUUUCCAACAGUGGCAUCUCUGAGGAAAACUCAAGAAAUCAAACAGAUUUCCUCAAACUCAAGAGGAACCCAAUGAGUCCGUUAAACAGUGACAAGGUACAAAGCCAGACUAACCCGGGUGGAGACUUCCAGAAGAAAGUUUUGGCAAAAAGAGUACAAAACAAAGUCACAAACGGGCCGAGGCCGACCGAGCGAGCCCCUGCCAUUGGGCCCCACACAUCUGCUCCACACUGGGAUUUUUUCAGCCUGCCCUCAACCUACCGAGAUGUGGCUCGGGUAGAGGGGCGUUCUGAGGGUAAGCGCCCUCAACCACGGACUUUCGACUCCAAGCAGAAUUUUCAAAGAAUAAAACGUCUAAGUCCAGAGAGCAGGCUCCCCUCGACUUGGUUAGAAGCCUAGCCCCCGGUUGAUGGCUACGCGCCAAGGAGGGCCUUUUCCCUCCCACCUGUGGGGAGCAGAGUCCCCACUUCAAGGGCUGACGCCACACAGGAGUGUUCACCAACCCAGGGUACCACCCAGCAACCCAGAAGCCGGUCGCGGAAGCGGCUUUCUCCAGUGAAAUUCCUCUUUCCCGGGGGUUGAUGACUCCAACUCUAAAGACUCCUGCCUCCCCCUUCCCAGCCCCCUGCCUUGCAUCCCACUCGCAUUUUCCUGAGGCUCACUGACUGUAGGAAAACAAGUAUCGCAUUAUGCUGGACUCCCUGGAAUGAGAUCAGUUCUAGUUUCAAAUUCCUUGCCGAACAAGCCCAAGGCCACAGACCCAGUACAAAUCCCAGCUGCUCGGCGGGGCAGAAGGCCUGAGCGAGCUCAAGAAAGCACGACUGAAGUCGUGACCAGCAAACGCAUCCUAAACCUGGACCGGCUUCCUCCCAGGUCUGGUCCGCAGCGCGGGGCACGAACACGUCUGUAAAGGACCCGGUCUCGGCUCCUCCCCCCAGGCAGCACGGCCAAGGCGAGGCUGCGGUGCGGCGCUGGGCUGCGAUUUUCUCCAACUGGCACCAUCUGUGCGUGCCCUGCCAGACGUGCUGACAGAGCAGGCUGCGUAGACCAUUACUAAUCUACCGGGGUCGGCGGGGUCAGGCCUGCAACACGAGGCCUAUAGAUUUCAAAGGCCGGCCUUCCCCCCACGCCAGCUCAUCAAUCUAGGCUGAAAAGCAACCACAUUUUUAUCCUUCUUUUAAAUUUCAAAGAAAAACUUCUCAUCUUCGAGUUUAGCGUGGGGGAUCGCUUGCACAUCAUUGGUGUCCGGAGACCAGCUGAGUGGUACAUCUGCGGGGCUGGAGGCUCAGCUGUUGAUCCCCUGCCAAAAUUGGGUGACCAGGCCAGGGGGAUGACUUUCCUCGCAUACACAAAGCCUUCAGAGCGGCGGUGUAGAGGAAGGCCAACAGGGAGCAAGAUUCAAACUCUACUGCUGCCAGGCACCGCCCCUAAGGGGAGUCUGCAGAGGAACAGUAAAUGCCAAAGACCAUCCUAUCAAGACGGUACCGUGGGAGCCCAGGCAGUGCAAUUCGGGCUGGUGAAUGAAAACACAGCCUCACCCCCCAUCUAUCUCAGAAUUCACCCAAGAGGCCCGCAACUGCCAGCAGCUGCCGAUCAGGUGUGUACUGAACGCGUACUGUGCACCAAGAGCUAUGGAAUAAGCAAGUCUCGUGCUCAGCUCUAUACUGGCCAAGGGCCCCGUGGAAACAGGAAGUCAGUCCCACCUUCAAAAGGCCAUUGGGUAGCAAUGGCAUGAUUCCAGGUGUACUAUGGUAACUAAAAAAUCUUAGGUUGUUCCAUAAAUGCAACUUUUGGUGUGUCAAGGCCAACUACUGUCAUCAUUUCUUGACAGAUGGUAUGUUAUUCUAGAUCUUCAAGUCAAACGAUGACUCAAUCUGCCAAGAGUCCACCAAUCACCACAAAACUAAGACAUCACUGUAAACUCCAAAGAAACCAGAUCUUUAUUUACAAUGAUUAAAGGCUUAAGGAAAUUAAGUCUUUCCGGACUCUGGGCAACUACAAGAGAAGGCUGGCCCAGCCACCAGCACACCCCCCGCCCCCAGGCUGCUCCCCUCACAAGGGUGCCUCAGCAUGACCUAAGAAGCAGUCACCCCAUCCCUUAGCCUUAAUCUGUUCCAGAUCAAGGAAGCACUGCUAUCAUAACAGACCUGCACGCAGCCCUUGGACUCCUCUGGAUAUCCUACAACGUGCUAAGCACACGAAACCAAUGGAAGCAUUUCGAAUGAGAGGCUUCACAUCUAUCGUGACUUUACUAACCCAUCCUGGGACGUGCUGGCACUGAAGAUUUCAUUCUCUCUAUAAAAUGAACACCUUCACGUUCCAAGAUGACCUGUUUUGGUCUUUGAGAAAUAGUCAGAUUUUACGAGCCCUAACUCAACACUAGGCUUCGGGUGUAAAGCUUUCUGCUGUCUUUCCCCCACCUCCAAAGCCCUAUAUUAUGUUUUAGAGGCUGGGAUUGUUCUAGACACCAGCAGCUCCUUUUUUAAACAAAGGCUGCCAAACAUUUAUCUCCCUCUCUGUCUGCUUCUGCUGGGGCAAAAGAUAAGCAUCUAGACAGAGACUUGCAUCGUGUUUUACCUGUAACUCAUCUAAACCACCAACUGACAAACACAGGUUCUGCCUCUGAGCACCAGGGAAGCUUGGGCAUAGAAAUAGCUGCACAGACCUGUGCCUCCAACAUCACUGCCAGCACAGAGGCGGCGAGUGCAACGAUCAGAAGGCAGGAGGCCUAGAUGGUGGAAUGGGAAACCCUUGACAAGUCUCAAAAUAUCAAGCCAAGCUAGAAGGUGGCAAAGAUAUGGCCACAGAACUCACAGUAAAGACCUAAACGGCCACAUUAUAAGUAGAGAUAGGAACAAAUCCAUGUAUCUCCAGCAGCCCAAGCAUCCCCCAGAAAAACAGCCAGCAGAGAUGUGGUCAGACUCUCUUCCACUGUAAGCAACUUAUGAGCCUAUCAAGGCAUCUACACUCUCUUUUGCCUCUUCGAUGUCUAAAAAUUUAAUCAUACUUCACUAGCCUAUUGCUGACAGGUAGGAUGUUUGUUUUUUAUCAACUAUUGCUAAGCAUGAAUAUUAACGGAUAAACUUUAACUCUGCAUUUAUAGGAUUAUACUGGUUUGUAAAGGGCGGGGGGACCCUCAUUUCUGAAGAAAUAACAGAAGGACAAAAGGAACCAAGUUCAUUUUAUUCUGUCUUCCAUGAUCAAUUAGAUGUUAGGCAGUUUAAGAUUCUAAUGGAAGAUUCUUGCAGGGUCCUCAGAAGCCCUGCCGAACAGGAGACCCCCACCAUAUACCAGGCACUGAGUAGGGUCCAGGGGUAUCAAGAUAUGACCUCUGCCCCCCACCUCCCCAGCAUCCUGGGACAAAUGGGAAUCAAAUGCUCUUAAGUCCUUAGGGCUACAGUUUUUCUUAAGAGACUUGCUGACAUGCGAUAUUGACACAACAGCUAGCCUUCUACAGGUUCAGAGAGGGAGGAAAAAAACAAUAGCCAGGGUAGAACACGGAGAAAUAUUUUGGUUUCUGAUAAAAUGCUGGUAUAAUAUUAAAACCAGUUACGAGUGAUCAAAGGAACCUACACUAAACACUGUGGUCACUCUGCCUUCAUGUGCCGUUAGCAUUUGCCCAAGAGCCACCUCUGUGACAAAUCAAAAUGGCUUGCCCCAGGCUCUGCUUACAGGAGCCACUGUCUGAUUUUGCGAACAGGUUACAUUACAGGGCCUUUUUUUUUUUUUUUAAACAUUUAAUGUACUUCAUACAACACCUCCUCUACAAUAGUUUUAGGAGAUCACUCUCUAAUCCCCAAUUCUUCCUCAAGGAAACCAGUUAAGAAUCCUUAAGAGAAUUAACUUAGACAACUAAUUACCGCCCCCCCCCCCCAACCCACACACACAAAAAAAACCCUCCUACUGCAAGGUGGGGAAAUGGAUCACCAGAAGGUGACAACAAUGAUCACCACGAGGUGUGGAAGACAAACAGAAACAAAAAGGAGGACUCCUUUCUGUUCUGGGGAGUUGCAAGCAAAAUGCCAACCUGUAGGAAUAAAAGCUUUCCUCUCCAAGCUCCAAGUUUUAACACACAAUCCAGAAACCAACAGAACACCACUGGCCCAAAUCCAAAGUUAUUCUAAUGGGGCUGAUUCACAUAGUUGACCUUGCAUUUGAUGGCAGUAUCACCACACGUAGAAAGAAAUACAAGUUAUUUAAGGUGUUGAGGUAUAGUCUCUGUCCAUAAAUAUUUUAGUAUUUUUUCCAGAUGCCCCAUCUAUUUUCCCAACAGUGUGCACAGUUCACUAAACAAGGCCAUAAAUAAAGACCGACUUUUUAAAGAAGGCUUAGGAUUAUAGGCUAUUUUUAGACCUUUAUUGAUCAUUCCAGAACGUGCCAUCUCUCCAUGUAUAUUGUGGAGUAAAUACUGUAUUUACUGCUUCAUAGGAUUCUUUUAAAUAUCAACUUUUAAAGUCACAGAAUUGCAGCAUCCUAGAGUUUCAGAAAAGCUUAAGAGCCAACUAGUUUAUCUCGCCUGUCAUUAAUGAAACAACGAGAACUUAGGAAGUCAUGUGACUUGCCCAAUGGCGUGCCUUUGGAAACCCAUCAGGUUAUACCAGCCAAGCUGAAAUACAGUGACUAACCCCUUAUAUGGGCAAAAAUUUACUUUUUAGCUACUUUGUACAGAAGUUAUAAAUAAUCCAAGAUUUCUUUUUAAAUAUAUCUGUAUUAAUACAUUUCAAAAUAAAUCUAUUGCAAUCAUUUAAUGGGUUGCUUAAAUACAAUGUUUUCAUAACCACCUUUCAAAGCAUAAGCACAUGUUGAAACUCACUGGACCACCCAAGUCAAAAAUCUACUUAUGCUAUUUAAUGUUUAUUUGGUUUGUUUCUAAAUGUGUAUUUAAGUGGCAAAGUCAUAAAGGGAAGAAUUAAUGAUAAUCGAUACCAGACCUACACCCAUGGAGUGCUUCUUGAGUUUACGGUAUUUAGUCAAGUCAGCCAAGGGGGAACAAAAAACUAUUCUAAAAUGAGAAAACUCUGUAUAAUACUUUAAAAGCAAGUCCCCAACCAUAUGCUAUAUUCUUAAAGCGCAAUUAUCCCGAGACCAAAACACAAUCCUCUGAAAGAAACUGACGGAAAGGAAAAUGUAGACCUCUCAGAAGUGUGUGGAGGUAACAAAUGAGAUUUAAUGCCAAAAAAGAGAGUAGGCUUUUUGCCCAUUCAGAUACCUUCAAAACUAUCUGUCAUUAUAACUUUAGAUUCUAAAAUGAACUACCAGCUUUAAAAAGACCGAGCAACAAAGGAUCGAUCUACUUACCUAAACAUGGAAAUGGCUCAUACCCCUAAGGAAUGCUCGAAAUUUACCCAAAACUCACAACACAGCUUCUCAUAGUAACAGUCAUCAAAGUGAUUAGGUUUCCAGACCAGCCUAUAGAGGCAUUUCUAAUUCCGUCUGUACCUGAGGUAAUAAAUGCUAGUCAUUUGUAGAAUCCAGAAAGCAAAGAGUAGCUAAGGGGUCAAGGCAAGUGACAAAGAGAAGGGCUUUGUAGGGACAGAGAGAAAAGCCUGCUUUCAUUUACUCUUCUCCUAGUACUUAACAUCUGGCUACAUUAAGGAGCAAUCAGCAGGCUGACUUGGGCUCCUCUCCCUCCUGUUCCCAGCUCUCUGCCUUCCUGGCCUCUUUAACACCAGCCCUCCAGGGGAAGAAGAACCAGAAGUCAAAGUGUAGCAAUUGCCACCUGCCCAUACUUCUAAUAGGCAAUAAAGCCAAAAGAGCAACCAGUACCUGAGACCAAGGGAGCAGAGAAGAAAAUGAGGAACCCCAGAGGCAGCAGGAGAAAAGCCAAUACGGGAAAAUCGACAAGACCAACAGUUAAGCUAAAACGCCUGUGGCAGCCCAAACAGAGUAGGGUAUUCCUGAGAAAAGGGCAGCGAGAAAUUUGGCACACGGGGCGGGGGGGGGAGCAACUAAAGCAAACUCUGGUUGGCCCCUUGAGAAGUUAGGAAAUGGAGUAGUUCUUCUCUAAGAAGGGACCAAGGCACAAAAUCAGGAGGAGAUGUGAAUGAGGCUAGCUGAACUCCAGCACACGUCCCGUGACGGGUGAUCGUUUAACUAUUUGGAUCCCUAAAUCCAGUGAAUUAUCCUGAUCCGUUCUGUACUGUGUACCGAAAUAAGAAUGUAUGGAGGGUGAGCCAUCACCACGACUGGAAAAACUCCAAAUCCUGACAGCCUGGGGCUUGAUUGCAGUCCUGGCCUAAAAUCGAGGAAGUUCCCUGAAGUAAUUCACAUCGUGUAAUUGCCAGAUUUAAAUUUAGUAGCUUAUCAGUAAAAUCCAUUGCACAAAAGCUGCCAGCCAAUAAGGGAAGAGAUGUUAGAAGCUUGCAGGGCAAAGCCAUUUCUUGAGACAAGUUCUAACCCAGAGAAAGCACCAAGGGAAUCCUCUGGAGACACGGGCAGUGCCCCUUCUUGAUCUCAGCAUGUCAAAGCAAGUGUUCUUAAAACGGAAGUAUAUCCACCUGAAAACUACAUCCUGGCUCUUCCAGAAUGUAUGGUGUCUAUGCUCAUGCCCUUCGCGGGGCUGAAAUUCGGCUCCGCAUGGGGCUGCCUGCCUCCACACGGGAACCGCAGGGCCCCAAGAGGAAAAGACAAGUAGAGGAGAAGGGCACACAGGGUGCAGCAGAAGGCACUAUCCCAGGGGAUCGGGACAUCCUCAGGCACCCAGCUCUGAGACCACACGAGUGGCCAUUCGCCACGUGUCAUGGAACCGGGCUCGGGCCGUAGACUGACAGAGGGGUCCAUGCCACUGGGGCACUGAAAUCCACAUAUGUACAACCAUCGCGCAGUCCUGUGGCUUCAACAAAUCUCAAGAUCAUGACAGGAGCUGUGUGACGUUCAGGGAAGGGCACUGGGCUGAAUCUGCAGACCUAGAUUUCGGGAGCGACCUUGCUGGCUUAGCUCAGGGAAAGGGGCAAAUCGUUUCCUCUCUGGGACUCAAUGUCCUCAUCUGUAAAAUACAGAGCAGAUGCGCUCUGUUAGCACAGAAUUCCGACUGACAUGGGAACUGACACAUAAAGCCAUUUGGAUGCCCCCACCCCCCACACACACACGUGGCACAGGGAGCCUCCACGACUGCCCAGCGAGCACAUUCACAAGGUUCUAGCAAGAUUCAGUACAGUGCGAUCAGCAACGAGCCUACUUAGGCACUCUGAGGGUACCAGCAAGAUCUCACCAGAACAAACAGACGGCACACGAAAGCACAUGGAGGGAAGAGCCACUGGCCAGUGUUCCUCGAGGUCAAAAACCGGGUCUCCCUCCAAGGACUACUAAGUACCCCCAUAGCAUUGCCGCUGUGCAUGGCAAUCACCGGGCAGUUCAGAUUUCUCCCUCCUCUAAACUCAGUCCUCAGGCAGAGGACUCCCAGCAAGGUGACUUCCUUCCCCCUGGCAAGUUGCUUAACCGGGCGACAGCAACGCUGUUCAUGAGCGGUGGAGGGGUGUGUGUGAGAGGAGCGUCUUCCUAAACAGGCUCCCAGUAGCUUUGGGGCAGGAAUAAGUCCACCUCCCUAUUAGGAAGGACGUUUCACAAGGUGACUCAAUGCCCAUUAAGCAAAAGAAACAUCAGUCCGCACAGAGCCGGAGGUGCAGCCAGCUCCGGUGUUCCAGGGCCACCACCUCCCGAGUGGGUGACCCUGUCCCGGAACGCCCUCCCCAAAGGAACUAGCACUGCCGCCCCUCCUCCUCGCCUGUGUCCUACUCGGCCAAAGCCCAGAUUUGAACUUCCCACUCAGGAAGGCACAGAUGUGACAGCUCUUCCUCCCCUUUCCACCCUGCUACCUGAGGUUUGCUUCCACGUGUAACUCGUGUUAGGAUUCAUUCCCUGGAUACAGGACCUCUAACAGUGUGAGGUAGAGACAGAGGAGCCAGGGCAGGUUGUUUUUUGUUUUUGUUUUUGUUUUUGUUUUGCCAAGCCCUAAACCUAUACAAUCUGAUGUAAAUUAAACUAGUCCUUUCGGGUCCAAAGGGGCCGUUGGCCAAGUUAACAGCACAGCCCCCCGCAAUCAGGGCACAGAGAGACGCACGCUCCGGGAGAGGGUGCCCAGGCUUUGUCAAAACAGAAAACGCACUCGGCGGAAAAUUGAACUCGAUCUCGAGAACCACUUGGUCCUGCUAAAGAACUAUUACGGUAAGACCCGCCCACCACCGCCACCCUCCUCACGCCCUUUAUUUUCUAAACCCUCAGACACUUCCCCACUCACGUCCACCAACCUAUUAUCCUCUCCCAGCUUCAAAAGCUAACUGCCCCAAAGCUACAUUUUCUCCAUGAAGCCAGUUCCUAAUAGCAUUCCCUAGGAGUGCACGGCUUCCAAAACUUGAAAGGAGCCAAGAAAUCUCGGGCCUCUGAGAUUUAACAACUUUGUGUGGUAGGCUUGCAUCUCCUGCUCUCUUCAACUCAAACCGUAAUCCCCCUUUAAAAUCUCGACAGCAACAGGGAAAGAAAAAAGGAUUAUAGAAAUGAUAAAACCUAGGGUGCUGAUACGUGAAAUCCUGGAUCCACUUGUCGAUUCAUUCACAGACUCUCUGGAAAACAUUAGGAGAGGCAUGUUGUAUCUGUUUCUCCCUUUAUGAGGUAGCUUUUUAUUAAGCCGUGUUGACAUGGUAUCAUAGAACGCUCACAAGUCUUUCUAAGCAAAUUAGGAGCAGGGAGGCUCCUUCAAACUGAAUCAUGAUGUACAUCUGCCUUUAUUGUCUAGUAUCUUUUAUAGGUCUCAGGGAUCUGCCCAAUACCCUACUGACAACAGAAAUCCAAUUCUUAAAAAGGCAUUUUCAUGUACAAAGAGGCCAUCAAAUUAUCACCCGUAAUUCACUUAAGUCAACAUCUGGCGCCAUGACUGUGACUCUUUCUUUAUCCUCAGAUACAAUGCACACCAUAGACCGCAAGAGGAAGGACCACAAGCCUGGCAACAGGAAAAUUCCUGGAGGCUCGUGACAAACACCAAUGGCCCUGGGGUGGAUUUAGACAUGGAAUGAAUACUUGGAAUCCUAGAAACAAAGAGGGAGAAUCUGGGAAAUUCGGUUUCCUGAGUGUUAGCAUCUCACAGGCCAUUAAUGGGAAAUGGCUUCGCUUCACUCACAUCAGAGCCACGGAUUGUUUUUUGGUUUUUGGGUUUUUGUUUUGUUUUUGUUUUUUUUUGUAACCCUUUUCCCAUCUCUAAUGUAGGAUCUAGUGCAGAUGCUACAAUUUAGGGCCAACUUUUGGUUAGUAAAGCUGUAGGCCAAGUUAUUUUCUUCGUUCUCCAGUUCAACUAUGGUUUAGGCAAGCCCCACCCUGACACCCUGCAAACCUGUGACCCCAACUAUAAACAGGGAGGGCUAAGAUCUACUCUUUUACUCACUGACCUCUCCUCCUCCCUGCUCUGGGCUGUCCAUACUCUUCCUGCAAACAACCGGUAGACAGGUAAAGACAAAUGUCCUCCCCCCACCCCACCCCCCUCACCGCCAUGACUGGCCAUGACUCCUCCUCUAAUUCUGGCUCCUGUGUGAUUUUUCCCAAGGGACCUCCUCAGGGCACAGCUUCUCUGAUGUAGAUCUGACCCCAGCUCUGGCCCAGCCUCUUCCACCCACCCCUGGACUCCCAUUACCAGACGACAGCCUUGUAGGGAUCCUCUAACAAGAUGGAUCAAGACCAUCUACCAUUUGCAGUGUUCCCUUCACCCUUAGAGAACUCCCAUGCUCCUGCCAAACUAAACAGAGAAUAUGUGAGCUGCCCAGCCGGGAGUCCCUUCUCCUGUUGUGCCUCACAGUUCCUUCCGCCCUAGCCCAGACAAGCACAGGGGUAGUUAGGCAGGUCAGCCUGAGCAGACAUUCAACCAGGAAAUCCAACACCAGCUUUUGCAUUCUUGCAGGCACCCCCCAUCUCUAUGGGUGAGUCUUUCAGAAUUUUCCCUGUCACCUCUGAUAUAAAGCUCAUGAGCCUUUCUUCUCACUUCCCCAGUGUUCUGUGCAGGCUAGAAAAGAAAGGGGGUGAUAACUGCUGGCAAGAGGGAAAUUUUGUUUUCUCUUAGUAAGCUCUUUGGGGAGCUGUCUGGCCUCAGAUAGACAUGGCUCUCAUCAGAUCACACGGUCUUCAGGUAUUUUAGCUCAACGUGAGCCAGAAGCACCUAUUUAUUAUAAGACAGCAGAGAAGUCUGACAAUUACCAACAAGUUAAUAGUACAGAAUCACCCCACUACCCACUGACUUUUUAAUUUUGUAAUAUUUACUUACUUUGAGAGAGAC